UAAACAAAGGUGCCCUUGCCAAUAUUAUGUUUUAUAUUGACAAGCUCCUAGAUUUCUGAGGGGAAUCCACUGUAAAUGGGAUCAGGUCAUUCAUUUAUGCUGUGUGCAAAUAUAAUUUUAAGAUACACCUC
rfam:Sorex araneus cont1.212978, whole genome shotgun sequence.